ensembl:lncRNA
AGGAUUAAGAUGUUAGCAACUGUGAAACAGAAGGGAGAAGACAGGAAGGAGACUUUAUUAAGGAUGAAAAAUGGCUGCGAUUUUGAAAACAGUCUUGUUGACAGAAUGGUUGCUGAGAGAUUUAGAACCAAUAGACCCUAUAGAACCACCUAUCUUUAUCCAUGAUGCUGCCAGAUCUUACCUUCACUGAGUCAAGAAUGAGCAGAGAUGUCUAUAGGAUGGAUAUGUGUGUGUUGGAACAGACAGUAUAAAACUCAAGUUCUAUAUUACUUCCUCUCCUUAGUGUCAACUCAGUCCUCAUCACUAAUCUGAGUUAAACCAGUGGAAGCAGUGACAGAUUUUAUUUUCUUGGGCUCCAAAGUCACUGCAGAUGCUGACUGCAGCCAUGAAAUUAAAAGACGCUUGUUCCUUGGAAGGAAAGCUAUGACAAACCUAGAAAGCAUAUUAAAAAGCAAAGACACCACCCCACUUACAAAGGUCCAUAUAGUCAAAGCUAUGGUUUUUCUGGCAGUUUUGUAUGGACAUGAGAGUUGGACCAUAAAGAAGGCCAAGCACCAAAGAACUGAUGCUUUUGAACUGUGGUGCUGGGAAGACCCUUGAGAAUCCCUUGGACAGCAAGGAGAUCAAAUCAGUCAAUCCCAAAGGAAAUCAACCCUCAAUAUUCAUUGGAGGGGCUGAUGCUGAAGCUCCAAUACGUCAGCCACCUGGUAAGAAGAAAUAACUCAUUGGAAAAGAACCUGAUGUUGUGGAAGAUUGAAGUCAGAAGAAGAGGGCAGCAGAGGAUGAAGUGAUUAGAUACCAUCACCGACUCAAUGGACAUGAAUUUGAGCAAACUCAGGGAGAUAGUGCAGGACCGGGGAGGCUGGCAUCCUGCAAUCCAUGGGGUCACAAAGUGUUGGCUAGGACUUAGCAACUAAACAACAUGCUCCUCAGUCUUUUUUAUCCAAGUUUUCUAGAGUCUCCUGACAGCAGGGGAACAGAAGAGCUGAAUAUGUGAUGAGAGUUGGUUAAGACACAAGAUCCAGGAGUUGUGAACUUGAAAAAAAAUACAACCUUGAGUCUAGUUCUAUGGAAACCACAGAGAGAAGCCCCAAAUGGCAGGGGACUGCCGGUUCUAACUAGUGGAAGAAAACUUACAGCAGCUAUGGUGGAAUGAGAACAGCAUGCACUCUGGAUACUCCAAGUUCAAAUCUCAACUUCAAGGUCAUUGGCUGCAUGGCCUUAGGCAAGGAUUCUUCCAAUGGGUAACCUUGCUCAGGGACUCCUUAAUGGUCUGGCCAGAACUUCACUGUUGGUACUCUUUAGCCUUAAUCCUCUUUUCUACCCUCUUCUUUCUCAGGUGUCAGCCCUGUAUUGAGGUCUGAGGUCUCAAUCUGCUCUCUGCUGCUCCUUCCUUCUUUAUCCUUCCCAGUUGUUUCUUCCAACAAAUCUCUUGUGUACAUCUAAUCCCAUCUUGGUGUCUUAUUCUCAGAGAACCUGAACUGACCCAGGUGGUGCCGGAAGUGAUCUGAGAAAGCUGGGGAUGGGCACAAUCACUACCUAGCUGAUAAUGGGAAUCUCAUCCUGAGUGGGACAUGAGAUGUGAAUAGUCCCUGGCAGAAGCUGGUGGCCCAACUGUUGAAGAUUCAUCGUGGUAACCUGAGAAAAUGUCUUGAUGGAGAAGGAUGCCCUUGCUAGUGUAAUAAUCCAGGCACUUCAAAGAUAUGGGGGAACCAAUACCUAUAAGGACAGCAGAGUUGGCUAGAUACCAACAAGUUGUACUGAUAUCCUGCUGGGGAUGAAGAGAAACUAAAAGCGGCCAACAAAUAGCUAAAGUUGAGUGUGAGAGUCAGAGGGACUAUAUGCAGAGGAAAAACGGACAAUGAUACUCAGAGUUUUGCCCUAAGCCUAUAUUAACUCUUUCCCUCUGUAAUAAUACAGUCUAAGGAGAGCUGGACUCUGGGGAUAUCCUACUGAAUGUUACGC